rnacentral:lncRNA from 1 species
UGGAGCUUUCUGUUUGUAGCUUCAGCUGUGUAAGGAUUAUGGGAAGUGGAUCUCUUUGCUUUAAUGGUAAGUUUGUGACAGAGAACGAAAUUUCAUGUUUGGAUAGCUUGUUAGAUUGAAGUUAUACUGGAGUCUGCUUUUUAUUCUUCCUUUGUUGCAUGAGACUAGCUAAUCCUUAUGAUACAGAAGUACCCUGAAAGAAACCAUGAUCUGAUGGCCGAUAUCUGUGAAGACAUGUAACAUUGGAGUAAUUUUUCUGUUGGCUGAGAUGAAAACAAGGUAUUGUGACAUAAAUCAGAGGUGAUCGAUCCCUACCCUAUCAAACCCUUGAUCUGACAACUGGAAAUAAAUCUGUUGGUUGACACUGAGACGAUCCAGAGAGCUUACUUAAGUUGAUUAUCUGAUGUCCUUCUUCAUUGCCUUUUGCCUUGUGUUUCUCCUUAAAGUGUGGAAAAUUCUCACAGAAUCCUGUGACAUUCUAAUCUGCAGUAUGAGCUAUAGAAAAAGCUAUUUCUGGAGUUUAUUACUGAUGUUAUUUGGGGCAAUCUGA